AUUGAACGCUGGCGGCAUGCUUUACACAUGCAAGUCGAGCGGCAGCGCGGGGGCAACCCUGGCGGCGAGCGGCGAACAGGUGAGUAGUGCAUCGGAACGUACCCUGGAGUGGGGGAUAACGCCGCGAAAGCGGCGCUAAUACCGCAUAUGCUCUGAGGAGGAAAGUGGGGGACCGCAAGGCCUCACGCUCUGGGAGCGGCCGAUGUCCGAUUAGCUAGUUGGUGGGGUAAAGGCUUACCAAGGCGACGAUCGGUAGCUGGUCUGAGAGGAUGAUCAGCCACACUGGGACUGAGACACGGCCCAGACUCCUACGGGAGGCAGCAGUGGGGAAUUUUGGACAAUGGGGGCAACCCUGAUCCAGCCAUGCCGCGUGAGUGAAGAAGGCC
rnacentral:rRNA from 1 species